UCUCUAAUUCAAGAGGACACUGGUCCAUGGCUAUCUUUCUUUUCUUACUGUAUCUUGUAACUUCUGUGGUGCUUUAUCGAGAUUUACCAGAUGGCCCUGGAUUGAUUUGCCAAAGAUCCACCCAGGAAUCCUGACUCAUUAAAGAAGGGUGGAGAUUUUCUGAGCUAAGCGAGAGACCUUUCCUCAGAGGUCAUUUUCUCUUCGACUUCUUCUGAGGCAACUCCUGCAGCCAGCCCCCAAAGACAGAAUCAGAUAAUAGGAAUUCAAAAACCUAACUUAACUGUGAGCCAUGUUACAAGGUUCAAGACCUUCAGCAACAGCCAGUUUUACUAAGUUACUAAUAGUCAAGGAGGUAAAAAAUGUUUUUCUGUUUUGUCUUUUAUUGAUGACUAAAUGAGAAUUAUCGAUACCUCAUUAUGAAGUUUCUUUCUUUUCAGAAGUAAAGUGCAUAUUUAGUCUUUUGGAUUUUUAGUAGUUGGCAAAAAUUUAAGUGCUGAACACUGAAGUAAUUUACCAUGUUAUCAUAUUGCUCUGUAAUACUAUAAUACAUCCUUUUCUGUGUGUAGCUGAGACUAUAUAUUUCCUGAAAAUAGAUACUCCAGCUCUUUCAUCUCUGUGCUACAUUUUCUAGCCACAGAAUGCUGGGAAUUAUAACAUUUAAUAUUUUUACACAAAUAAUAAUGUUAAUGGAUGGCCAUAAAUGAAUGUCAGAAACCCCAA
rnacentral:lncRNA from 1 species